UCCCAGUGUAAUCUAAAGGCUCUUAUUCUAUCCCUUUGUCUUCCAGGAAACGUCUGAAAUAAGCAUUGUGCUCUCUGGAGACAGGGGAAAGUCUUUUCAUCAUCCAAAGCCCUGGCAGUUCUUUCCAGGUGGCACAAAGGGAAACUUUACUAAUUCCUCACUCCUACCUACUACCUUAGAAGAAUGAAGCAGAAGCUCAGCUGAUGUAUCAAGUGGGCAUAAUGUGUAUAAUUGAGUGGAGCAGCACUGGGAAGCUGCUAUAUUUUUAGCUGUAGCUAAACUGCACACAAGCAUGGACAACUCGUUCUGACCAGUCCAGGUGGAAUCAAUGAAAGAUGAGGGAAAACAGAGAUCAACUUAAUUAAUCUAAGGCCUUACAUAUUAACUAUAACAGAUUUAGCAGUGUUAAGAGUACAUCUUUGUUUCCUUAGGAAUGUUUCUUGAGUCCUUACUCAAGAAAAAGUGGGGUUUUUUUCAGUUUUUGAAUA